CCCUACGGGGGGCAGCAGUAGGGAAUAUUGCUCAAUGGGGGAAACCCUGAAGCAGCGACGCCGCGUGGGGGAAUGAAGGUCUUCGGAUUGUAAACCCCUGUCAUGUGGGAGCAAAUUAAAAAGAUAGUACCACAAGAGGAAGAGACGGCUAACUCUGUGCCAGCAGCCGCGGUAAUACAGAGGUCUCAAGCGUUGUUCGGAAUCACUGGGCGUAAAGCGUGCGUAGGCUGUUUCGUAAGUCGUGUGUGAAAGGCGCGGGCUCAACCCGCGGACGGCACAUGAUACUGCGAGACUAGAGUAAUGGG
rnacentral:rRNA from 1 species